CCUACGGGGGGCAGCAGUGAGGAAUAUUGGUCAAUGGGCGCGAGCCUGAACCAGCCAAGUAGCGUGAAGGAUGACUGCCCUACGGGUUGUAAACUUCUUUUAUAAAGGAAUAAAGUGAGGCACGUGUGCCUUUUUGUAUGUACUUUAUGAAUAAGGAUCGGCUAACUCCGUGCCAGCAGCCGCAGUAAUACGGAGGAUCCGAGCGUUAUCCGGAUUUAUUCGGAUUAACGGGAGCAUAGGUGGGUUGUUAAGUCAGUUGUGAAAGUUUGCGGCUCAACCGUAAAAGUGCAAUUGAUACUGGCAGUCUUGAGUACAGUUGAGGUAGGCGGAAUUCGGGGUGUAGCGGUGAAAUGCUUAGAUAUCACGAAGAACUCCGAUUGCGAAGGCAGCUUACUAAACUGCCACUGACAUUGAUGCUCGAAAGUGUGGGUAUCAAACAGGAUUAGAUACCCGUGUAGUC
rnacentral:rRNA from 1 species